AGCUUUCCAACUUGGAAUAUUUUGAAGAUUCCCCAGUUUAACUUCCCAUGGAAAGAUUAGGGAAAUGUCCCGCCCUUACUUGCAGAUGGCCUAGGCUACAGUUUGACAUGGAACUGGAAGACAGAUUGGACCAUUGGAAGAACAUUGUGGGGAUUUGAAAUGAAUGACAGUCUUAAGUACCUGUCCUUCAACACGGGGCUCACAGACUAAGUGACAAAACGCUGCUCUCUAAU